AGGAGGCCGAGGACACAGGCGUUCGGCCCGUCCUCCUUCCACGCUCAGUCCCCGCUCUCGUGGAGGGGGCGCAAAGGGGACCGGGCCUGGCUUCCCUCCCUGCAGGCCUGGACACCAAGCCCUUGGGAACCAGAGAGCUACAUCCGCACGGAUGGGUGCAGUUUUGGAGGAGCAUUGCCGUCAUGUUGCUGUGAUUCCUCAGUUCCAGGACCACUAGCUGUGGCAAGCUGAAGAUUCCUUGUCUCUACUUGGAGAGACGUCCUCACACGGCCACGGGAAGUGGAGCCAUCACUACUUCCUGGGAUACUCACCAGUUUCUUUUGCUUGGAGAAGGAGGCUGAGAUGGGGCAAUGAGAAGCGGAGAUGCGCCCUGUGAUCAGAGUAGACCCCACGUUUCACUGGAUGGGCAAGGACUACAAAGGGAUUUGGCCCAACCUGUUGGAAAGUGGUCCCAUCCAGCCGGAUUCCAUCUCGGAACCACAGCAGCUCAGGAGCAGGGCGGGCAUCCCCUUGGCUCCGACAGGUCAGAUUCCCUGGAACUCCAACGGUCAAGGACACAGAGGGGCCACCCAGCACCUGGGGGGCUUCUGGAGGUACUGCAUGGGAGAUCUUGGGUCAGAACAGGACCCUCGGGAGCAGAGCCCCCAUUCUCUCAGCUCCAACCCCUCCCUGGGUUUCUUAGACUCUGCUACACCCAACUACUACUGGCUUUGCAAAGCACAAGUGGGCUGGGUCCUCACCCAGCACGUGUAUUCGGGCUGGUCGCGAUCGGAGGCCUGCUUGGGACGCCUGACAUUCAUAUGAUGCCUCAUCCUCCAGCUCCACAGGCUUAAUGUGGAGAUCGUGCUGGCCACUGGCUGCACUCCCAGAUAUCCAGUACCGGGGCCACCCUGUAGAGAGGGACACCGUAGUCCUGAGCUCCUAAUCUCAGGUCUUUGUACUCACACCAGAAAAAAAAAUGGUCCACACAUUCCGUGGUAAAAUACUAUUAAAAGUGUGUGUUUAGUCCAGA